AUGAGUAUUUUAGUAAUUAUUUUACUACGCUUACUUGCAUAUUAUAUAGUCGUAGACUUGAAUAAUGCAUACCGUCUUUCUAUAUUAUGUUGAACAUCACUAAGUAGGCGUAGCAAACUAUUCGAACCGCAGUCGAUACUUUGAGCUGACAGUGAAUCUUAAUGUUUGUCAAAAAAAUAUCAUUUAAACUAUAUAAAUAAAACGUUGAUAUUACACAUUGCCGUUUUGGGCUUAGCUUUUUCGACUGCAGAAACUUAAAGUACUUUGAUCACUCAGACAGUCUGUUUAUGAUAAAACAACAGAUGUACUCGAAACGAAUUUCAGUCCCCUGGACGCGUCGCCAAAAAAUUACAUUUUUUAACUUAUCGUGAGACCAGAGAGACUUGUGGUAUACACCGUAAACGGAUCAACUUUGAAACGUUCUCGUUUAAUCAACCCACUAAAGGACAAUAAUAUUCGGCAUAUACCUGUGCCCUUGAUCUAAAUGUUCUCAAUGUUCGAAAUAAACCCGAAGUACCGAAGCCAAUUUAACUGCCCGUUUUAUGCUGUCCAUCACAUUAAACUCAAAACAUUACACAAAUAUUUACAAUACUUAAGUAUAUUGUAUAUAAGUAUUACAGUAUUUCACCGUGUUUGUCCUCGUUCACACUCUAUCAUGCUAUUAUUGUAUAUUACAUGCUCUACUCUUCUGUCCACCUGUUGCAACAGCCUAACUUAUCCAACACUUUUUGAGGACUCAAAAUAGAAACUAGGUAUAUAGUUAUUGACAUGCUUUUUGGAAAUAUUUAUUAAUUUUUGUUUUUAUUUAAAUUGUAUAGCUAACCAACGAAUAUUAUAAAAUACGAAAACAUUGCUUCAGUAUAGCUCUAUCUUUUAUACAAACAAUUAUAAUUUAAAAAUAUGUGUUUAUUAUACAUAAAAUAAUCCACGACGAACAAGGUGAAACGACUAAGUGUCCACUAUAAAAACACGCUAUAUAUUCUAAUUUAAUAAAGAAUACAGCAUGAUAUCAUAUGACCAUACGCGAAAACUAAAAAGUAUAUUUUUAAUUCGUAUUAGCUCGCUUCUAGUCUAUUUGCAGGUAAAUGAUUAAGAUGUACCGAUUUUAAAGUCACUGAUUACAAAAACAAUCGCUCUCACUGUCACCCUCGUGUCCGGAAUAAUCUAAAAAACAGCUGUGGAACAUACCGCUGUCGCAGUUGACAUGCCGGGCGAUGGAAGACGCUGAGGAAAACCCCAAGUACAGUCUAGGUAAACAAGUACAUGCAUGUAAUUAUUUAUAUUAUUGUUUAUUGUCGUAAUAAGGUCAUGGCACUCCCAAAUUAUUUUCGAGUGUUUCCGUUUACGCAUAAACUGUAGACGGAUGUUUUUUCACGGUUCAAGUGUCUGUAGCGCGUUAUUAUAAUAUACAGGCUAUCGU